rnacentral:lncRNA from 1 species
GUUGGUGCAAAAAUCUGCCUGCGCCGGAGAAGCUGGAGUUGAGGAAGCCGCGGUCGCCGCCGGGACCUGCAAGGGAAGUCUAAACCGGAGGUGGGGUUGCUCCGGCAAGACCCUCCGACGCUCAAGUCAGUUCUCUGCCUCAACAAGAAUUGAGUGCUCGAACAGAGAGUUUAGCAGAGUUUUAAGAUAAGGCAAAAGAGCUUAAAGAAUAACGUAUCUGAGUCCCCCUUUUAUAGGCGGGGGAGGCAACGGACUGAUGGCGACGUUUGUAACCGCCUGGUAGUGGACCGCCCAUGGUCAGGGGAAUUGAUUGCGAAAGAUAAUGGAGCAGACACGUGGCCAUCAUCAUAGCCCGCUGCAGGUAGUGGAGCGGCGUCCGUUGCCGCUAGUUGUCAGCGAGUAGUGGGAUCGUGCAGCACCUGCCGCAGGGAGCGGAGCAGCAUCAUAGCUGUCGACACAGCCUGUCAGAGAGUAGUGGGAUCGUGCAGCACCUGCCGUAGAGAGCGGAGCAGCAUCAUAGCUGUCGACACAGCCUGUCAGAGGGUAGUGGGAUCGUGCAGCACCUGUCGCAGGGGGAGGUGGAGCUGCGCGGAAUCCACUACAGGAAGUGGAACAGGAUCUUGGCAGUUAUUGUUAUCUGCCAAGGGACGCGGAUCUGUCGAUCAAGGCUCGACAGCGGUCGGAGUUCGGCCUUUGCAGGAGUCCGGGAGGAGUCCCCCCCUCGGUUGAGGUCGUGGGUGGGGUUCGGCUCCAGCGGCUGAUGCUGAGGUCGGAGCUUGGCUCCCGUAGGAGUCCGGGUGAAACCCUCUCGGAA